AUCACUUCCUGUCCUUUGGCUGAGGUGAUGCGUGACACCUGCUCUUACCGUUUUAGUAGCACAUACACCCUCUAUAAGAGAACAACACAGUAAAAAUGGACCUUUGGAGCUGGGAGACAGGAUGAGAGCUUGCACUGUCCACUCCAUGCAACAGUCUGGCAUUGCAGCACCUCCAGGAAUGGUGCACCCCUC
ensembl:snRNA U2 U2 spliceosomal RNA